UCCGUAGUAGUGUAGGGGUUGUACGUUACUCCAAAUCGUUCGCUCAAAACGUUUGUCUAACGGGUCAUAGAACAUACUCCGCUUUCAAGAAUUUCUCAUGAUUUCGAAGAGCCGGAGAGCCCCGGGUUCGAUUCCCGGCUAUGGAA